AGUCGAGCGAGCGGACUAACAGAUUUACUUCGGUAAUGACGUUAGGAAAGCGAGCGGCGGAUGGGUGAGUAACACGUGGGGAACCUGCCCCAUAGUCUGGGAUACCACUUGGAAACAGGUGCUAAUACCGGAUAAGAAAGCAGAUCGCAUGAUCAGCUUUUAAAAGGCGGCGUAAGCUGUCGCUAUGGGAUGGCCCCGCGGUGCAUUAGCUAGUUGGUAAGGUAAAGGCUUACCAAGGCGAUGAUGCAUAGCCGAGUUGAGAGACUGAUCGGCCACAUUGGGACUGAGACACGGCCCAAACUCCUACGGGAGGCAGCAGUAGGGAAUCUUCCACAAUGGACGCAAGUCUGAUGGAGCACGCCGCGUGAGUGAAAAGGUUUUCGGAUCGUAA
rnacentral:rRNA from 1 species